UACGAAGGGUGCAAGCGUUACUCGGAAUUACUGGGCGUAAAGCGUGCGUAGGUGGUUCGUUAAGUCUGAUGUGAAAGCCCUGGGCUCAACCUGGGAAUUGCAUUGGAUACUGGCGAGCUAGAGUGCGGUAGAGGAGAGUGGAAUUCCCGGUGUAGCAGUGAAAUGCGUAGAGAUCGGGAGGAACAUCUGUGGCGAAGGCGGCCAUCUGGACCAGCACUGACACUGAGGCACGAAAGCGUGGGGAGCAAACAGG
rnacentral:rRNA from 1 species